CCCAAAUUAAAACUGAAUUGGUACUAUUUCUCAUCUUCUCGUUGGUCAUCUAAAGCUUCACAACACUGAAAGAGAAAAAGAUUAUGGGGUUCAAGAAGUGAGAAUCUUAAUCACCCCCAAAAUGAAAUUAACCCUUUAAAGAUCCAUGGUCCAGGUAUUGUUGAGCAACAAUCUUUAUUUGGGUCAAGAAAUUAUGGGUCAUUCUGAAACUGAAGAGACCAUUUCCUCAGUGGAUUUACAUGGAUGGCUCUAAGCUCACCUUCUUGUACACACAUUGAUGGGGUGAAAAAGCUAAAAGGACUCAGAUAUAGGAAUAUGUCAUCUCAAAUUGUGGGAAAGUUCAGUCAAAAUAAUCAAGAUAUCUCACAAGAGUUCCAGCUUCCAUCCGCAUAUGAAUCUGCCAUGGAAGCUCUUUCGACUCUCAUUACUCAGAAAAAAAGAAAUGGCACAUCAGCCAUUAGUGGUCCAAACCAGAAAUUGGACAGAAUGUUAAGGUACAUUAAGGUAGUGCCAUUUCUAGCUGAGACUGUUUCUCCUUUAUACUUGCAUCAAAGUGCAUCUUGCUGGUAUUGGUCUUGCCUUUUUGUUUAUGUCACAAACUUAUUGAAAUAACGAAAUUAGUGUUGUUUGUCUUUAAAAUAUCUGCUAUUUGUCUUCAGCCGAAGAGUCCAUAAAUGCGCACAAAAGGUGUUUACCAUAUUGUUCCUAGCUGCUUCUUUCUUCUGUACUUCCCAACUUCGAAAAGUCUUAAUUAGUGAUUUUGGCAUUGCUUGCCAGCUGCACUCCGAGAACGAUCGAGGAAUAAGCAUCAGGACUGCCAUGUCUUGCUGCAAUUUAUAAAUAAGUUGUUUGGGGGACUUGGAGCACAUUCACACGUGUAGGAUCUGUUGCAAAGGAAGUAAUCUUUGUGUAUAGACAUGUUUACUGCAUAGCGAACCAUCUAAAGAAGGUUGAUUUAUGGGGUGGGGUUUUUUGUCUUCGGAAUCAUUUUAGGCCUCUGUAUUACUCCCUCCUCUGCUUUAAUAAACAUUUAUAACAAAAUGCACUUUAAACUUCCCUUCAUUCUUCAUUUUCUUGUACAAGGUGUUGCCUCAGAAGAUGUAGUUUCUUAUUCUCACACCUUUAGAAGAAGCAGUGACACUCUUAAUCUUCCACUCCUUAAGAUGUCUUGUGAUGCUAAUUUGCCACCCAUUUUCAUCUCUGCUAUCUGCAGUUAUGGCAUCUUUUUUCAAUUCCAAGUAUGCAAAUCUGGAAUUUAUUCUUUGAGAGCGCAGUGCGCUCUAUCCACAGUUCUUAGCAUAGUCUUAUCUUGCUUUCCGUUGCUCCCUUAGGCCUUACUAUACAAAUGAUACCCAGUCAUCUAUACAAAUUAGAACCUUAUAGGUGCACCAAAAGGAAAUGAGGGGAAAAUGACUAUUCUUCAAGAUACGAUAAGCAUAUGAAAAAGUAGAAUUAUUAUGUAAAGACAUGGUCCUGGGGCCUAACUCAACCUCAUAAGCUAGCUCACGACGGAGGAUUGCCCAAGUUCAUAUAAGCUGACUACGUGUUCAUUCUCAACCUCUAACCCACUCUAACAAUGUACAAAAGCAAAUUUCAAACAAGGCCUGAUUAUUGCUUAUUCAACCACAAUCAAAAUACAAUUUAAGAAGAUACAAGAGCUCAAGAAAAAAGCAGAAUGAAAUGCUGAUAGAGGUACACAGUCUGUCCAUUUCUAACUCUGAAUGCCUGCGAGGACAGUCUGAAUUACUGUCGUACUUACCGUGAAAGUAACAGCAAGGAACACAAUGAAAUUCCAGGGAUCAUUAAGGAUUUCCAAUUUGAAACUAUCCCGGAAGGAUUGCCACCAUCAGAUCGCAAUUCAACUCAAGAUCCUGUUUCGUUAUGUCACUCGCUUAGGAAGAACUGCUUGACUCCUUUUCGUAAUUUACUAUCAAAGUUUAUUUCAUCACCCGCCGUUCCACCAAUUUCUUGUGUAAUAUCAGAUGGGGUGAUGAGCUUCGCCAUUAAGGCUGCACAAGAAUUUGGCAUUCUUGAUGUCCAAUUUUGGACAGCCUCAGCUUGUGGUUUUAUGGGAUACCUUCAAUUUGAUGAACUAAGAAGAAGAGGGAUUAUCCCGUUUAAAGAUGACAGUUUCAUGGAGGAUGGUACACUGGAUACAAUUAUCGAUGGGAUUCCAGGAAUGAGAAACAUUAGGUUGAAGGAUUUGCAAAGCUGUAUCAGGACUACUGAUCCACAUGAUAUUCUGUUAAACUAUUUAAGUGAUGAAGCACAAAAUUGCUUGAAAUCUUCUGCAAUAAUUAUCAACACAUUCACUGAACUAGAACGUGAAGUCUAUCUCCAAAUGCCUACUCAAUUAAUAAUGAUGGAUCUUUCAUGCA